GGUCAAGCUACUAAGAGCGUAGAGUGAAUGCCUUGGCACCGAGAGCCGAUGAAGGACGUGAUAAGCUGCGAAAAGCUACGGGGAGUUGCAAAUAAACUGUGAUCCGUAGAUAUCCGAAUGGGGAAACCUAGCAGAGCAAACCUCUGUUAUCCUACAGCCAAUACAUAACUGUAGGAAGGGAACGAAGGGAACUGAAACAUCUAAGUACCUUUAGGAGGAGAAAGAAACAUCGAUUUCCUAAGUAGCGGCGAGCGAAAGGGAAACAGGCCAAACC
rnacentral:rRNA from 1 species